rnacentral:rRNA from 1 species
AUUGAACGCUGGCGGCAGGCCUAACACAUGCAAGUCGAGCGAGCGGCGGACGGGUGAGUAAUGACUGGGAAACUGCCUGAUGGAGGGGGAUAACUCCUGGAAACGGUAGCUAAUACCGCAUACCAUCAGAUUUUCCCCGAUGGGAUUAGCUCGUAGGUGGGGUAACGGCUCACCUAGGCGACGAUGCCUAGCGGGUCGUAGAGGAUGACCAGCAACACUGGAACUGAGACACGGUCCAGACUCCGACGGGAGGCAGCAGUGGGGAAUAUUGCACAAUGGGCGCAAGCCUGAUGCAGCCAUGCCGCGUGUGUGAAGAAGGCCUUCGGGUUGUAAAGCACUUUCAGCGGGGAGGCGUUAACCGAAGAAGAAGCACCGGCUAACUCCGUGCCAGCAGCCGCGGUAAUUG